rnacentral:rRNA from 1 species
UACGGAGGGUGCAAGCGUUAUUCGGAUUUACUGGGCGUAAAGGGCGCGUAGGCGGCUUGAUAAGUCAGUCGUGAAAGCCCGGGGCUCAACCCCGGAAGUGCGAUUGAAACUAUCAGGCUUGAGUAUGGUAGAGGGAAGUGGAAUUCCAGGUGUAGCGGUGAAAUGCGUAGAUAUCUGGAGGAACACCGGUGGCGAAGGCGACUUCCUGGACCAAUACUGACGCUGAUGCGCGAAGGUGUGGGUAGCAAACAGGAUUAGAUACCCUGGUAGUCCACACAGUAAACGGUGAUCACUAGGUGUUGCGGGUAUUGACCCCUGCAGUGCCGGAGCUAACGCAUUAAGUGAUCCGCCUGGGGAGUACGGUCGCAAGAUUAAA